GAUGAACGCUGGCGGCGUGCCUAAUACAUGCAAGUCGAGCGAACGGACGAGAAGCUUGCUUCUCUGAUGUUAGCGGCGGACGGGUGAGUAACACGUGGAUAACCUACCUAUAAGACUGGGAUAAAUUCGGGAAACCGUAGCUAAUACCGGAUAAUAUUUUGAACCGCAUGGUUCAAAAGUGAAAGACGGUCUUGCUGUCACUUAUAGAUGGAUCCGCGCUGCAUUAGCUAGUUGGUGAGGUAACGGCUUACCAAGGCAACGAUGCAUAGCCGACCUGAGAGGGUGAUCGGCCACACUGGAACUGAGACACGGUCCAGACUCCUACGGGAGGCAGCAGUAGGGAAUCUUCCGCAAUGGGCGAAAGCCUGACGGAGCAACGCCGCGUGAGUGAUGAAGGUCUUCGGAUCGUAAAACUCUGUUAUUAGGGAAGAACAUAUGUGUAAGUAACUGUGCACAUCUUGACGGUACCUAAUCAGAAAGCCACGGCUAACUACGUG
rnacentral:rRNA from 1 species